GGUUGCGUAGUGUAGCGGUUAUCACUUCAGAUUCUGAUACAGACCCGUAGGCUGUUCUCUUUCUGGCGACCCCGGUUCGAUUCCGGGCGCGACCU